rnacentral:rRNA from 1 species
CGUGAACCGUUAUAACUAUGUUCUGUGCUUCGUCGCAAGACUUGAGGCUGAACGAAGGUGAGUCUGCGUCUAUUUUGGAUGCGGAUUUGCUGAUGUUAUUUUAAACACCUAUUACUUAAUACUGAACUAUACUCCGAAUACGAAAGUUUUUGGUUUUAACAAUUAACAACUUUCAGCAGUGGAUGUCUAGGCUCGCACAUCGAUGAAGAACGCUGCGAACUGCGAUACGUAAUGCGAAUUGCAGAAUUCAGUGAGUCAUCGAAAUUUUGAACGCAUAUUGCACUUUCGGGUUAUGCCUGGAAGUAUGCCUGUAUCAGUGUCCGUACAUCAAACUUGCCUUUCUUUUUUUGUGUAGUCAAAAUUAGAGAUGGCAGAAUGUGAGGUGUCUCGCGCUGUCUUUUUAAAGAUGGUUCGAGUCCCUUUAAAUGUACGUUGAUUCUUUCUUGUGUCUGCGAAUUGCGAUGCUAUGCUCUUUGUGAUCGGUUUAGAUUGCUUUGCGCUGGUGGGCGACUUCGGUUAGGACAUAUGGAAGCAACCUCAAUUGGCGGUAUGUUCGGCUUUGCCUGACGUUAAGCUAAGCGAGUGUAGUUUUCUGUCUUUUCCUUGAGGUGUACCUGUCGUGUGUGAGGUUGAUUUAGGCUAUAUGGUUGCUUGGUUGUGUGGUUUAGCGUUUUCAGACGCCUGCUUCGGUAGGUAAAGGAGACAACACCAAUUUGGGACUGAGAGUUUACUCUCUUUUUCACUUUGGACCUGAUAUCAGGUAAGACUACCCGCUGAACUUAAGCAUAUUAAUAG